CAAACGCUGGGGGUGAAGUGGAGAACAAGUGAGAACAGCAAAGGAGACGUCCAGGCCUUCUUGGUUUCUGCCUUUCCUAAGGGUUGUGUGCGCAGGGAGGCAGCCCCCCUCUUUAUAUCUCUUUCUAGUUGCUAUCUGUUGUAGAGUUUGGUUUGCGAGGUUGAAUAACAGACUAGUAGCUGUUAUUACCGUUAUCCUGUGGGGUUUGUAUCCCUUUCCGGUAGUAGCAGUCCCUAAUGUUCCCAGUCGUCUUUGCCUCUGGCACUUGCCUGGCACACUCGGUACUGUAAUGUCUAAGACUGGGAACAUCCCAAGACGUUUUUUUUAAGGCACCUGGCAAAUGUUACAUGGGGUGUGAGCUAAUGUGUUCUAUUGUGAUCUAGUCACGAGGUCAUCAAACACUUGCCGUGGCAACCGCAUUCCACAGUAUAGUGGUGGGUCACAGCUUGGAGGUGGGGGUGGGGGGGGUGGUCCGUGAGCAGGGGAAACCCCCUGGGAGAAAUAAAAUCCUGUUUCUCUAACUCUUAUUUAUAUCCAAGCUCAGCUGUGGGUCAAUCUGUGGUAGCAGCAAUUAGAAGUGAAGGUGCAGAGGGCACCUUCCCCACUGAAAUUCAAAAGUUAAUUUGGGAUAAUGCAACUACAUUUGAAAAAGAAUUCAAUCUUGGUGGUAUCUAGUCAAUUUUACUUACAUUGCUGAUUAAAUUAUUAAAUUGUUCUUAUCUCGACCCUCGACUUUGAACAUUCCUUUCCAAUUCUCCUCCCCACCCCUCUGGGUGGUGGGCAGUCAACAAGCAGCUGUGUGGUGCUUGGUUGCCGGCUGGGAUUAAACCCCAACAUUUUGGUACAUCAUAAAACAAAAACCCCAGCUUCAGCCACCCAAACCACACAAAUGAGCACAUCACAAAUAGCUCUGCUCGACUAUCUACUUACUGUGGACCUGUAAGCGUGUAAAUGACCAGUAUCCUAGUUAUGGCACAGAGGCAAGAGGUGAGCAUGCCACCACUCUGUGAGGGUAAGAGGAACUGACUGUCAUCUUGGGGUGGAGGGUGGUGAUGUGCUCCCCCUGUCGCCAGUCGUCCCCCCCCCCCCCCCCCCCCGCAUUCUAACCUGUGUUGCAUCACAAUGCUCAAGUGAUGACCACCAGUGGUGGCGGUGACGGGCGGCUCUGGUCCUGGCUCACAGUGCGUUCCGGGAGACAGAUAAGAGCCCGACAGCCAAGGGCUAGUUUGAACAACGUGCCCACCUGGCAGUGCUGGCCACGGUCUGACUCAGGCCAAGCCUGGAAGAGGCUGACUUCUGUAGGCGGUGUGCAGAUGUGACUGUGAGGUAAUUCUCUGACUCUGUUAAUCUUGGACGGCCCAGGGCCCGUUGAGCUCUGCCGUGCAGCACCAGCUGGCACAGCUCUCGCCUUGAGUAGGGAUGCCUCUCUAGGCUAUAUGCAGCAUUUUAUCUCUGUUUUGCUUGUUUCUGAAGGGAAAACCUUCAUUUGGGAACGCUGAGCACCGUAUGAAAAGACCUGAGGCUUGAAAUCCACAGCAAAGGCACGUAGUGCUGACCUGCACCCAGUUCCUCGCAGCAGGAUGUUGUGCCAGGAGAGGGCAAGAACGUGGGCAGCAACGGGGCCUGCGCCUGUGGGUGUUGAUGGAGCCAGCGGCUCGGGCGAUCACAAGUCGAGCAGGGUGUUGCACGUGGUAAGAGAGGCGCAUCCUCUCGCAGCACGUCUUGCUGACCUACUGAAUUGUGUUUUCCCAUCAGCACGGUCGGCACAUUGUCCUUGUUUCACUGUUCACUGAAAGCCAUUCCCACAGGUUACCGAGGAGCUGGACUGUAAAGCCAAGGAAUCGGGAGCAGGUACAGCCACAGGCAGACAGAGUAUGGUUCUUAAGUAGCUUGCACAAUGGCAUAAUUUACUGUCUCCGCUGGGCUCUUGUGAGCGUCAGCAAAGGGAUUCAGCAAAGCCUUCAGAUUCUCACUGUGUCCCUGCCGCUGAGACUUCAAGAGCCACUGUCCCCUGUUCUCUUUGCAGCUGCAGUGCCACUGGGAGCAGUGGGUUUGGAGGGCAGGCUCCCAGGGAGGUGGGAAGAGGGGAGAGCUUCCAGCCAGGGCUCCGCCGUGGGUGGGAUGCGACAAGGGUGGGGAAGAGUGUGACAAGGGAAUCGGGGAGGCAGAAGCCCUGCAAAGAGCCAGGUUUCUGCAGGUGGGUGGUUUGUUUUCAUUCUAGCGCUUUGGCUGAUUAAGGGCGGGACUCUGAGCUGAGAGGCUUGGCUAAAAGGCCAGAGCAGUGCACCUGCAGGAGCACAUCACAAGACUGGCUCCCAGUGUGCUGGGAGGGCUUGGGUUAUCGGCAACCUGACUGCUUUGCAGCUGAGCGUCUCCUUGGUGCGCGAAGUCAGUGGUGGCAAGAUUCAAAAUGGGCAUGUCUGUAGGAGAAGGCCUCAAGGGCAAGAGUCCAAGUACUGAUAGCCUGAUGAAUAGAGACUCGUUAGAACUUGUAGGGCACAAGCCCUGGGAACAAAGGAACAAGCUAACUGCAGACCCCUGAGCCGUUACAGUUGAGGAGGCAACCAGACGGACAGAGAAACGAGUAGCCAGAUAAGGGAACGGAGAGCGCCGAUAUGUACCUUUGUUAAUCAAGAAAGCCGCCCAUAAGGAAACCCCCUAAUUUUGGAAUAGAAAUUGUUGCUAUGUCAAGGUAAACUAGUAAGUUCCUAUUGUUUUAACGGUGUGCCUUAAAUAUCAACCAAUCAGUGUUUUUUACGCUUAAGAUUUAAGCAAUCAGUGUGUAAUAUGUAGAAGGUAGAAACGUAUAUAAUUGUAAGACAAUCACUAAUAAACCGACAACUUGCUUGCAUCAAGCUGCGUCCCGUCUCUUCAUUCGCCGCACAUGUCGGUCUUUUCACUCCCUUUUUUUGAGGCUCUGCAAAUGAGAACAGAGCGCUACGGUGAGCUACUAAAGAAAGAAGACCUACAUCUGUCUGUCUUCAGAUUCCCCAGAUGUUCUCAGUGAGCUGGGUGAGAAGAAAGCCUAUGGGACUGGAGGACUGCUGGGUCACAAUCACCACAAGUGUUUGAGAUCAUCCUGGCGUACCUGGAGAAGAAAGACUGGAAGGACGCCUCGUCAGUGUCUUGCCACAGCGGAAAGGGGCUGUUGCGUUGGGAGAGGCCGAUGAUUCGUCCAAGCGUGCUCUGUCUGGAAAAGAAGAUGGAGACGAUGACUCGGACAGCGACUAGGCUUCACAAUGAGACGAUGGGAAAGAUGGGACACGUAGUCCGUGGGAUGAAGUUUGGACGUGAAGUGGUUCCGCUCCAAAGACCAUCUGCUGCCCUUGUGACACCGGAUUGUCCCAAUGCUCGAUAGUUCCGUAGCUGGCCCAGAGCUGUUCCUGGACAUGAAGGGCAAAGAUAAAUGUGGGUUUUUUACCCUGAAGCUUCCGUAUUAAUAGCUUAUUUUUGUAAAAAAUAAAGUAAUGGCAAAUGUAGAAUUUAUUUUGUUUCCCAAGGAAGCGAUUGCAUUCCUUUUUUUUUUUUUUUUACAAUUCUUUUAAAUGUGACUUUUUCUACAUACCAAGUUGGGCACGUUACCCAAGAGCAUUAGUAGAUGCUAUUUGAAUGGAUGCCGCCUUCUCUGUUCCUGCCCUAAGUUUUCUUGAAAGCGGUGAAUGGUGACCUCACAACCUGUUCCGCUAGUGCCGUUGCCAAGUGUGCAUGAACACUCGGCACAAACAAGCAGAAAUUCUAAUUUUCCUGAGCUCCUCAACAGACAAUCACCAGCAACCAAACUGCCUUCAUCAGCUGAGCCACGCUGACUUGUAUACCAUGCGCAGAUAGCUGGGGUCGGUAGAUGAGCUACGAGCGUGGGGUUACGCCAAUGCUUUAGACUUCAGCUUGAGCAGGAUGGACGUCUGCGCAAGCGCGAAUCACGUGCCUUGGUUGGCACAUGGUGCGCAUGGAGUUGAGGCGUCACGAUCGCUUUUGGUUACUUCUCGGUCCUCCUAGCAAAAUUGAUCACGGAGCCUCAGAACAGUACCAGGAGACAGGAGCUCUCUCUUUCAAGUCACUUACUGAGUUUCAGUAGGUCUGAUUUAUGACAUGAUCCUGCGUGCAUUGUUUUCUCUGUCAAAUAUUUUUCCUUUACAAAAAGAGGCAUAGUCUCAGUUUUGGCUGGAUGUUCUGGUUCCACUCAUUUCUAACUGACUGAAGUGCUCUUGCAAAGGACGGAAACGGAGACCGUGGAAGCGUGGCUUCGCUUCAGGCUUGUGAGCCUGCCCCAUCCCUUUCUCCUGUAGGGACUAGCCAGGUAACUGCAGCUUCUGAGCAAGUACAGCUUCCGCGCGGGUCAGCUGAAGAGCGUAAGAAGACGUCAUCGUAACUGUUGUUCUGAGCUGAGCUGGAAUCAGGGGGCUGACCCAGGCAUGGCUUGGCUUGUAUCCAUUUUCAUUCCUCCCUCUGUUGUUACUGCUUUCAAACGGAGAGUAGAAGUGGGAUCCCCACAGGCCUGUAAAGGGUUGGCAACCAACAGGUUGUGGCUUUCUACAGUCGGAGGCUCUGAAAACUUGGCCAUAUUCAGUCAUCACGAUCCAGUGCAUAACUCCUGCUUACUUCUGCGUUCGCUGUGCACUCCAAAGAGUUCACGUAUUUCUCGAGUGGGCCAGCUCUGCAGUGAUAAGAUUACGUCUCGGGAGAAGGAUAGAAAGAAGUACUUGCAGAAGAAGCUUAGUUUGCAAGCUGAGGACUUCACGGAGCAUUUAGCAAUAGUUGACAUGGAUGUGUGACUGUUGAAGUCAGGCUACUACCCGAACCUUCUCAGUAACAGCAGACACAUCCUAAAGACUAGAGACUCCCAGCUUUUUGGGGUAGGGACAAGCAAUAGUUCAGAAGCUGGGACAUCUAAUUUUAUCAGAGGACACAGAAACGUCGCUGCCUCACAGAGCAGCCUUGAGAGUUACUCUGCCGCUGCUGCACCCUGACGUGAUUGUAAGAAUCUGCUUCAGCUUCUCGUGCUAGUGAAUCCAGGCCUCUAAUAAGGCAGGCAGGUGGGAUCAAGGAUAACGUAACACAAACAGCUUUAAUGCUUAUCUUGAGUCACACGUUGAACAUAACCUUGUUCUUCUCUUUAUUACUAGGAUGGGUGAAGUGCCCUUGAGAGAGCUUUGUUGUCAGACGUCUAGCAAAUACAGUCACGGGUGCUUUGGAAAGGGAAAUGGGUGAGAAGGUGCAAUUGAUUGUAACUAUCCUUGCAAACUAUUGCCCUUCUGGCUCUUACCACGUUUGUUCCAUGACCUGUCAGCUUCAAAGUUCAUGGAGGGAAUGCAACCGUGCUGUUGAAAGACUACAUUAAUGUGGUUGCUUUAGUUUUGGUUCUGUUCAGUAGUGAUCCUGUGAGGCCUCUGCGAUGUAAUUAAGGUUUUCAGGCUCAGCUGCUGCAGCAUGGUGCUGAGGGACAGCUGGUAGGAAACACUCAGGACAGAGAUUUGAAUGGGAUUAAGACAGUCAUGAGUACAGCCCAAAAGCAUGUGGUCAAGUUCAAGUGUGGCCCGUUCAACAAGUCAUUACCACAGCCCUGUCAGUGUGUGGUCACUUAACCCUGCUGUCUGGUUUCCAGCUGACUUUGUAGUGUUUACACCUAAGACACCAGGGAAGUUGCAAAGCACUGCCAGCUCCUGUCCUGCUAGAAGCUCCGUCCCCAUUUACUGCAGACGGCAGACUCCUACUCUUGUGCAGCUGUACAGAAAUUACAUAUCUCGGAAAAUGUUCCCCAUUUACAUGGCUUUGUGCGAAUGAGUUUCUGCCUCUGUGGUCUGAGUUGGCAGGCAGACCUGAGUAAUGCCCACUCUGUGUGACUGGCCUUUGGCCAGCCAUUCAUAAAAACUCUGUUUCCUGAAUGUGCGGCCACACGUUCCUUCAGCCUUACCAGCCUGCUCCGCUGGGGGCUCUAGCACAGCUGGGCACGUGCAGCAGUGAGUGAGCAGCACGAGAAAGCCGAGCUGAGGUAGGCCACCGGGUCUUGGCAUACUCCUCUCCUGCAGCGGGAGAUGGGAAUGGAGGUGGUAGUUGUGACUAUAGUAGGCAUGAUUUGAAGGCAGGGGCCCUUGGAAAGAGAACACUGAGCUCUGCGCUGAGCUAAGCUCCUCCUUCUUUAACGCUGUGCUGCCAGGGUUUCUCUCCUUCCCCGCAAACGGCCAGAUGCCUUGAGUGAGCUUGUCUGCACCGAAUCAUCUGAGUCUGGAAAACAGAUGGGAGUAGGGUUGACUUGUCACCUUGUCUUGUUUUUGUGAGAUUUAAUUGGCAGAGGUAUCUUUUAGAUGGGUAAGCCCCAGUUCUUCCGCUUUCACAGUCCACUCACAGGGCCUGAAAAAGGGCCAGAUGCAUUUCUGUCCUUGUUGGCUGUAUUUCAACGGCUCGAGGUUUGCACGGUGCAUUGGAAGGCUGGUUUUGGUCUCAUCCUGUCUCGUCCGUGUCUCCCCCCUCCGCAUUGGAUGCUACAGUGUGUGCUGCUUCUCUGCCAGUCGUGAGAGCUGUGAAAGCAAAUUCCAGCUUGCUGUGAGGCAGACGACUGCAGUCAUUGUGCAGGCCACAUGUGGCAAGUCCAGGGUCUUUCUUUUUCUUUUUUUUUUUUUCUUUUCUUCCCCAGUGCCUAGGGCUUGGUGUGCAUCUCUGCAGACAGGGUGUGCGUGCCCCUCUUCCUACCCCAGUAUGUCUGUGACUGCAGAGCCAAGCCUACACACAAGAGCUCUUUGUGCAGGCCUGGCUGAGUCACGCAAACAGAUGACCCUGAUGCCAAAAGGCGUUGCCUCUGUCCCUCUUUUCAUUUAGCUCGCGUCUCAUGUACCUGUGCAGCAUGGUUGGGUUGAAUGACUUGAGGACAAAAUACAAUGAACAUCAAAUUGUUUUAUUAGGAAGUCUGAACGCCUGUCUUUAUAAUCUAAGUGCUCAGGUCACAUAUUUCUGUAUGUGAAGGUGGCUGGGAGAUGCUUCAGCGGCUGUGAAUAGGGGAGGCCUCCGCUGGAAAAGGGAUAUCCGUGGUUUGGGGGCGG